GCUAGUGCUAUGUUACACCAUCAAACAGUUGUGAGUAUUAUCACCGGUAAGUGUGCUGCUCAUUAAUAUUGGAAAACGAGUUACAUCUCCAAUCACUAUGCAUGGUCUGUAAAUAUCAGAAAUAAGUUCUGCUCACACAGCACAAAAAUCGGAAAUACAUCGACAUUUGUACUCUCACAGCUCAUCUGUACCACCCGGUAACAUCGCAUAAUCCGCUUAUGUCUACACCCCAGCAAUUAGCAAGGAUCAUCAUGAUCUACAGCACCUGCAGCAGCCGACAUUCUGCUUCAAAAGAGCAAUAACACGCUGAACAGUAGAAGAACUGCGCUCAAAUCUUGUACAAAUCGGAAAGAAAUCCAGACAUCUGCAAAAUUCAUAAAUUCAAGAUAUGCUUCUGCACAAAUCCGGCAUCUGCAGUAACAGCUACAUCUCCAAAAGUGGUAUGAAUUUACUCUUUUCUUUUGCAUACUUCAACUAUAGAUAAAAAUAUAAUAUGCUUAAGAAAAAUAGGAUUAUGUGCCUCAACCUUAGGGCAUUAAAACCCUACAGAAAUCUUCAUAAUAAGAUUUCACGCAGAUGAUUAGCAGAAUCAGUUUUAAAUCAAAUCAAACUGAUAUAUCUUAGCUGGUUUCUACACUUAAGUGUUUAUGAAAAAUCUUAGAGUUGACUUACCAAGAUAAGAUGAAUCUUCAUAUGUCACAACUCAAAUCUUCAUCAUUGCUUGUUACACUGAUCUUCUUAACUUCCCAAGCCUAAAAGAUAAGAUCAAAAAUAUCUUACUUUAUAUCUAUAUAAACCAAGGAAGAAUUAAACUAUUACACGCUUUUCUUCCUUUUAAACUUCUCAAUCUUCACCAUGAAUGGAGAAGUUGAACAAAUCACUCCCGACUCAAAGCUUAAUGACAUUUCCAAUCCUCCUCCAAGUCCUGUGUAUCUUCCACGACCUCCACUACUCAAUCCAGUAAGGAGGAAGCGUACUAGGAUGGCUCCCAUUCAAGAGAUCUAUGAUGGAAUUCCAGUUUGGAUGUCGGUAACGGCAGAGCAAACCUAUCAACUGAUCCUCGAUCAAAGGAUGAUUCUUGAAGAACCAGUGAUCCUCUCAUCCUUAAACUGCCGAGUGAUAGAGAACUACCUUGCCUACAAUGGUCUCACUACAUACUUGGAGAAUAUCGGGCAGCUCCUUAUCUACAAAUCUGAGAUUGCUCGAUUGUACUCCAAUCUGAAAUAUGAAAAGCAAGGAUCGCCCACCAUGACCUCCAUGGUUAAUGGAGCUUAAUUAUAUGAUCCUUCGAGCUGAUCAUCUAAGCUCAUGGACUAACUUGCCAAAUGAUG
rnacentral:lncRNA from 1 species